GACGAACGCUGGCGGCGUGCUUAACACAUGCAAGUCGAACGGAAGGGCCCUGCUUUUGUGGGGUGCUCGAGUGGCGAACGGGUGAGUAACACGUGAGUAACCUGCCCUUGACUUUGGGAUAACUUCAGGAAACUGGGGCUAAUACCGGAUAGGAGCUCCUGCUGCAUGGUGGGGGUUGGAAAGUUUCGGCGGUUGGGGAUGGACUCGCGGCUUAUCAGCUUGUUGGUGGGGUAGUGGCUUACCAAGGCUUUGACGGGUAGCCGGCCUGAGAGGGUGACCGGCCACAUUGGGACUGAGAUACGGCCCAGACUCCUACGGGAGGCAGCAGUGGGGAAUAUUGCACCAUGGGCGGAAGCCUGAUGCAGCAACGCCGCGUGCGGGAUGACGGCCUUCGGGUUGUAAACCGCUUUCGCCUGUGACGAAGCGUGAGUGACGGUAAUGGGUAAAGAAGCACCGGCUAACUACGUG
rnacentral:rRNA from 1 species